rnacentral:lncRNA from 1 species
UUUCAAAGUUCAAUCACACCUGAAUUUAUUACACGAUUCUCAUAUCGAGUCUUUAUUACAUCAUAAUAAAUUCGGCCGAAGGCCAACUCAUGAGAAAUAAACUAAAUAAAGUUGCGGAAGCAUAGACGAAAUAGCGAGUCCAUCCGACUCCAUAAGGCAAUCGCAAAGCAUGGAUCGUAGCCUCACUCCUGGUUGGAAAACUCCUCUGCAACAUAAGACGUUGCAGCCGUGUAGGUCAGCAUUUUUGAAUAUGUCAGCAAGUCAUGAAGAGAGAACAACAAUAAAAUUACUAAUACUAUAUGCAAUUUGGCUGUGGGGCUCUAAGUUUUCUGUUUUUGUGCAAAAGCCAGUUUUUCCCUAUAAUAAAGGACUUGUUUGCAAUUACUGCAAAAUUUCGAUUGUUAUUGAGAUGGUUCCGCCAACCAAUGUCUCAUUCCUAAUUAUUAAAUAACCCCUCAGUUAACUUAUUAAGUUUGGUGUUGAGAUUUCUGAAAUACUCCAAGUUCUAAAGGCUCAAAUUGUCCGUAACCGGGGACACAACUAAUCGAUUAGGUCUUCACUCUGCAGAGUCUUGUGCACCUUACCCGCAAGAAUCGUUCCCUCCUUUUAAGUCCUCGCACUGCCUGGUGUUUGAAGACUGGACGAACGGAACAUGGUCUUCCGAAGAGUUCCUCUAGGCCACUUUCGGUGACCAUCCAAUCAUACCGUUCUUCUACAUAUCGUAGCACCGUCCGGCCAAAGUCACGCCUAGGGUCGACCAAGCCAGAACCCAUAAUGGCUUGCGGCUGCACAAGUAAGCUUCCGGUCAAUGGGGUAUCCAUCCGUCUCUUCGUGGUUGGGCGAAGCUUUCCACAAGAUGUCAUGUGGCUUCUCCCAUGCAUCCCGACCAUCCGCUGGUUUCUCUAGGGUACCCGUCAACCGUCCUCCACCCAGUAGUGAAUUUUGAAGUCCAUCUUGAGCUUGAAGUCAUGGGGUUUUCAUCAUCUUGACUCUCACAUCUCCCUUAUGAAUCACUCAACCAACCCCGUCUACGAAAGCAUAACAAUCAACUACAUCAUCCCGGGCAUUGGUAACAAGGGAAAAGGGGUUCAUCCUACCUCAUGAUACUACUCAAGAACAUAGCUUAAAAUUCUCCUACUGCAUGCAUCGUGGGGAGGAAUAAUUAUAAUGCAACAAAAUCAUAGGUAUUGCAAAACAUGAUCAAAUGACUUGCCUAGUUGACGGUCUUCGAAAGCUAGCGACUCGUAAUAGCAGGCCUCACACUCCGGAAAUUCUAUCGAGUCAAACAAUAGCACAAAUAAGUAUACUACAGCAUAACAUAACAGCAAGCUAAAGUAAAUCACACAAACACUCAAACCAAAACCAAAGAAAACUCAAGGAAACCAAACCAAGGUUUUCAUCACUUCAAG